UAACGCGUGAGUAACCUGCCUUACACAAGGGGAUAGCCGUUGGAAACGACGAAUAAUACCCUAUGACAUAAACUCUUCGCAUGAAGAGCUUAUCAAAGAUUUAUCGGUGUAAGAUGGACUCGCGUCUGAUUAGCUAGUUGGCAGGGCAGCGGCCUACCAAGGCGACGAUCCAUAGCCGGCCUGAGAGGGUGAACGGCCACAUUGGGACUGAGACACGGCCCAG
rnacentral:rRNA from 1 species